UAUGGUAGUUAGAUUUGGGCAAAGAAAACAUUGGACCCAGGACCUGAUCUGGAGGCAUGUGACGCAAUAACCUUGCUGCAGUUAAGUAGUCUGGGUCUGGAUAGUGCCAGGAUAGCAGACCACCUGGGGACACCAUGUAUGCUGCUUUGAGAAAGGGACUACCUGGAUUGAACCACUUCUAAAAAAAAUAGACUGGGUCGAUCAGAAGAGUAUUAUAUUUCCUAUUUCCGGGCGGAUCGACAUGCAGAGGUCACAAUGCAGAUAGCAAGAUUUUGUGCAGCAGCUUGUAAAUUGAGAAGGGGACAACUUAGCUGUAACUGAGAUUUUAUAUAAUUUGAUACGGUGCCACUAAGUUAUUGUUUUGAUUUUGUUCUGUUAUGUUGACUUAUGCUUUGUGUGUAUUUUGACUGGUCAUGGACCGUAAUAAACUAUUACUUACUUACUAAGAA